AGUGAACGCUGGCGGCAGGCCUAAUACAUGCAAGUCGAACGGCAGCACAGCAGAGCUUGCUCUGUGGGUGGCGAGUGGCGGACGGGUGAGGAAUACAUGGGAAUCUGCCCAGUCGUGGGGGAUAACGUAGGGAAACUUACGCUAAUACCGCAUGCGCCCUUCGGGGGAAAGCCGGGGACCUUCGGGCCUGGCGCGAUUGGAUGAGCCCAUGUCGGAUUAGCUAGUUGGCGGGGUAAAGGCCCACCAAGGCGACGAUCCGUAGCGGGUCUGAGAGGAUGAUCCGCCACACUGGGACUGAGACACGGCCCAGACUCCUACGGGAGGCAGCAGUGGGGAAUUUUGGACAAUGGGCGCAAGCCUGAUCCAGCCAUGCCGCGUGAGUGAAGAAGGCCUGGUUGUAAGUACGCUGUCUGGAGGACGGAAGGAAGGUAGAGGUACGUCCGACGGAACGCGACGCCGUAACGUAACGUCGACGACGCCAGCCGCGGAACUAAUACUAGUACG
rnacentral:rRNA from 1 species